rnacentral:rRNA from 1 species
GGAGCGAAAGCGUGGGGGAGCGAACAGGAUUAGAUACCCUGGUAGUUCCACGCCGUAAAACGAUGAAGUGCUAAGUGUUAGGGGUUUCCGCCCCUUAGUGCUGCAGGUAACGCAUUAAGCACUCCGCCUGGGGAGUACGGUCGCAAGACUGAAACUCAAAGGAAUUGACGGGGGCCCGCACAAGCGGUGGAGCAUGUGGUUUUAAUUCGAAGCAACGCGAAGAACCUUACCAGGUCUUGACAUCCUCUGACAAUCCUAGAGAUAGGACGUCCCCUUCGGGGGCAGAGUGACAGGUGGUGCAUGGUUGUCGUCAGCUCGUGUCGUGAGAUGUUGGGUUAAGUCCCGCAACGAGCGCAACCCUUGAUUUUAGUUGCCAGCAUUCAGUUGGGCACUUUAAGGUGACUGCCGGUGACAAACCGGAGGAAGGUGGGGAUGACGUCAAAUCAUCAUGCCCCUUAUGACCUGGGCUACACACGUGCUACAAUGGACAGAACAAAGGGCAGCGAAACCGCGAGGGUAAACCCAUUCCCCCAAAUUUGUUUUCAGUUCGGAUCGCAGUUUGCAACUCGACUGCGUGAAGCUGGAAUCGCUAGUAAUCGCGGAUCAGCAUGCCGCGGUGAAUACGUUCCCGGGCCUUGUACACACCGCCCGUCACACCACGAGAGUUUGUAACACCCGAAGUCGGUGAGGUAACCUUUAGGAGCCAGCCGCCGAAGGUGAAACCUAUU